rnacentral:rRNA from 1 species
GUCGAGCGGUAAGGCCCUUCGGGGUAACACGAGCGGCGAACGGGUGAGUAACACGUGAGCAACCUGCCCCUGACUCUGGGAUAAGCGGUGGAAACGCCGUCUAAUACCGGAUACGACCCUCCUCUGCAUGGUGGGGGGUGGAAAGUUUUUCGGUCGGGGAUGGGCUCGCGGCCUAUCAGCUUGUUGGUGGGGUAACGGCCUACCAAGGCGAUUACGGGUAGCCGGCCUGAGAGGGCGACCGGCCACACUGGGACUGAGACACGGCCCAGACUCCUGCGGGAGGCAGCAGUGGGGAAUAUUGCGCAAUGGGCGAAAGCCUGACGCAGCGACGCCGCGUGGGGGAUGACGGCCUUCGGGUUGUAAACCUCUUUUACCACCAACGCAGGCUCCGGGUGUUCUCGGGGUUGACGGUAGGUGGGGAAUAAGGACCGGCUAACUACGUGCCAGCAGCCGCGGUAAUACGUAGGGUCCGAGCGUUGUCCGGAAUUAUUGGGCGUAAAGAGCUCGUAGGCGGCGUGUCGCGUCUGCUGUGAAAGACCGGGGCUUAACUCCGGUUCUGCAGUGGAUACGGGCAUGCUAGAGGUAGGUAGGGGAGACUGGAAUUCCUGGUGUAGCGGUGAAAUGCGCAGAUAUCAGGAGGAACACCGGUGGCGAAGGCGGGUCUCUGGGCCUUACCUGACGCUGAGGAGCGAAAGCAUGGGGAGCGAACAGGAUUAGAUACCCUGGUAGUCCAUGCCGUAAACGUUGGGCGCUAGGUGUGGGGACUUUCCACGGUUUCCGCGCCGUAGCUAACGCAUUAAGCGCCCCGCCUGGGGAGUACGGCCGCAAGGCUAAAACUCAAAGGAAUUGACGGGGGCCCGCACAAGCGGCGGAGCAUGUUGCUUAAUUCGACGCAACGCGAAGAACCUUACCAAGGUUUGACAUCGCCCGUGGACCUGCAGAGAUGUGGGGUCAUUUAGUUGGUGGGUGACAGGUGGUGCAUGGCUGUCGUCAGCUCGUGUCGUGAGAUGUUGGGUUAAGUCCCGCAACGAGCGCAACCCUUUGUUCCAUGUUGCCAGCACGUAAUGGUGGGGGACUCAUGGGAAGACUGCCGGGGGUCAACUCCG